rnacentral:tRNA from 1 species
CAAGAAGUAAUUUAAUGGAGAAUGUCAGCUUUGGGUGCUGGUAGUGGGAAUUAUUUCUCCUUCUUGA